rnacentral:rRNA from 1 species
AGUGGCGCAAGGGCGCGUAACACGUGGGUAAUCUGCCGUGAAGUUUGGGAUAACUCGCUGAAAGGCGAGCUAAUACCGGAUGUGACUGUUUGGUGGCAACAUUAGACAAUCAAAGCUGGGGACCGUAAGAGGCCUGGCGCUUCAUGAUGAGCCCGCGGCCAAUCAGCUAGUUGGUGAGGUAACGGCUCACCAAGGCAAAGACGGGUAGCUGGUCUGAGAGGACGACCAGCCACACUGGAACUGAGACACGGUCCAGACACCUACGGGUGGCAGCAGUCGAGAAUUUUUCACAAUGGGCGCAAGCCUGAUGGAGCGACGCCGCGUGGGGGAUGAAGGGUUUCGAUCCGUAAACCCCUGUCAUUUGCGAACAAACCUUCUGCAAUAACACUGCAGGAGCUGAUUGUAGUGAAAGAGGAAGGGACGGCUAACUCUGUGCCAGCAGCCGCGGUAAUACAGAGGUCCCAAGCGUUGUUCGGAUUCACUGGGCGUAAAGGGUGCGUAGGUGGCCAGGUAAGUUUGGUGUGAAAGCUCGGAGCUUAACUCCGAAAAGUCAUUGAA